rnacentral:rRNA from 1 species
AGAGUUUGAUCCUGGCUCAGAAUCAACGCUGGCGGCGUGCCUAACACAUGCAAGUCGCACGAGAAAGUGGAGCAAUCCAUGAGUACAGUGGCGCACGGGUGAGUAACACGUGACUUAUCUACCUUCGAGUGGGGAAUAACCUGGGGAAACCCGGGCUAAUACCGCAUAAUACUUACGAGUCAAAGCAGCAAUGCGCUUGAAGAGGAGGUCGCGGUCGAUUAGUUAGUUGGCGGGGUAAUGGCCCACCAAGACGAUGAUCGAUAUCCGGCCUGAGAGGGCGCACGGACACACUGGAACUGAAACACGGUCCAGACUCCUACGGGAGGCAGCAGUGGGGAAUUUUGCGCAAUGGGGGAAACCCUGACGCAGCAACGCCGCGUGGAGGAUGAAGCCCCUUGGGGCGUAAACUCCUUUCGAUAGGGAAGAUAAUGACGGUACCUAUAGAAGAAGCCCCGGCUAACUUCGUGCCAGCAGCCGCGGUAAUACGAGGGGGGCAAGCGUUGUUCGGAAUUAUUGGGCGUAAAGGGUGCGUAGGCGGUUUGGUAAGUCUUGUGUGAAAUCUUCGGGCUCAACUCGAAGUCUGCACGAGAAACUACCGGACUAGAGUAUGGGAGAGGUGAGUGGAAUUUCUGAUGUAGCGGUGAAAUGCGUAGAUAUCGGAAGGAACACCUGUGGCGAAAGCGGCUCACUGGACCAUAACUGACGCUGAGGCACGAAAGCUAGGGGAGCAAACAGGAUUAGAUACCCUAGUAGUCC